rnacentral:lncRNA from 1 species
UUGCUCAUAACAAUAAACAUUCAUAUAUAGAUACAUGCAAAAAAUAGUCUGUAAUCUUUACUGUCCCCCACUGCUACUCACUUUUACAUAACAAAAACUGAAUCCAAGUAUAACUCAGUAUGCUCAACAGUGUAUAUCCUUGAGAAAACAUUGGCAGCAAAAAUCUUAAUUAAACCAAGAACGUAGUUAGUAACUGAAACUUUGCUAUUCACCAGACUUGUUAGCAUCAAAUUAAGGAAGGCUAAAUUUG